GAUGAACGCUGGCGGCGUGCCUAAUACAUGCAAGUCGAACGAACAGAUGAGGAGCUUGCUCCUCUGACGUUAGCGGCGGACGGGUGAGUAACACGUGGAUAACCUACCUAUAAGACUGGGAUAACUUCGGGAAACCGGAGCUAAUACCGGAUAAUAUAUUGAACCGCAUGGUUCAAUAGUGAAAGACGGUUUUGCUGUCACUUAUAGAUGGAUCCGCGCCGCAUUAGCUAGUUGGUAAGGUAACGGCUUACCAAGGCAACGAUGCGUAGCCGACCUGAGAGGGUGAUCGGCCACACUGGAACUGAGACACGGUCCUGACUCCUACGGGAGGCAGCAGUAGGGAAUCUUCCGCAAUGGGCGAAAGCCUGACGGAGCAACGCCGCGUGAGUGAUGAAGGUCUUCGGAUCGUAAAACUCUGUUAUUAGGGAAGAACAAAUGUGUAAGUAACUAUGCACGUCUUGACGGUACCUAAUCAGAAAGCCACGGCUAACUACGUG
rnacentral:rRNA from 1 species